UAAUACUCCAUAGACUACGAAAUCUGGAAUGAUUCAUAGUCGAAAGUUCCGGCGCUUAAGGAUCGGUCUGCGGCCUAUCAGGUUGUAGUGGGUGUAACGUACCUACUAGCCUAUGACGGGUAUGGGCCUUGAGAGAGGGAGCCCAGAGUUGGAUUCUGAGACACGAAUCCAGGCCCUACGGGGCGCAGCAGUCGCGAAAACUUCACAAUGGGGGCAACCCCGAUGAGGGAAUUCCUAGUGCUAGCACAAUUGUGUUAGCUUUUCUCUAGCGUAGAUAACUGGAGGAAUAAGGGCUGGGAAAGACGGGUGCCAGCCGCCGCGGUAAUACCUGCAGCCCAAGUGGUGGUCGAUUUUAUUGAGUCUAAAACGUUCGUAGCCGGUUUGAUAAAUCUUUGGGUAAAUCGGGGGGCUUAACCUUCCGACUUCCGAGGAGACUGUCGAACUUGGGACCGGGAGAGGCUAGAGGUACUUCUGGGGUAGGGGUAAAAUCCUGUAAUCCUAGAAGGACCACCGGUGGCGAAGGCGUCUAGCUAGAACGGAUCCGACGGUGAGGGACGAAGCCCUGGGUCGCAAACGGGAUUAGAUACCCCGGUAGUCCAGGGUGUAAACGCUGCAGACUUGGUGU
rnacentral:rRNA from 1 species